UACGUAGGGGGCUAGCGUUGUCCGGAUUUAUUGGGCGUAAAGAGCGUGUAGGCGGCCAGGUAGGUCUGCUGUGAAAACUCGAGGCUCAACCUCGAGAUGUCGGCGGAAACCAUCUGGCUAGAGUCCGGAAGAGGAGAGUGGAAUUCCUGGUGUAGCGGCGAAAUGCGCAGAUAUCAGGAAGAACACCCGUGGCGAAGGCGGCUCUCUGGGACGGUACUGACGCUGAGACGCGAAAGCGUGGGGAGCGAACAGG
rnacentral:rRNA from 1 species